GUGUACAUUUACCUAGGAUCUCCAUAAUAAUAAUAAUAAUAAUAAUAAUACACACUGAUUGAAUGCAGUUUCAGUUUUUUAAUUUAGUGUUGAUUUUGGGAUGGUUAACCUAACACCUAAGGUCUCUGCUGCAACAUAUAGCUUGAAUGUUGAGUCACUUUGAAUAAAAGCAUCAGCUAAAUGACUUAAUGUAAUGUAAACCAGGACUAAAUGCAAGUAAAUGGAGUUUACCCACUGCUCAAAUGUCAAAAAUAGAGUUUAUCCACCGGUUUAUGUAAUGUAAUGUUAAGAGUUUACCUCCAAAUAGAUUGUUAUAGGACCUUAACAAACUUAAAAUAUUACAAAACCAGAUUGAUUUAUCCACGUACAAUAUGUGCUCUGAUCAAGGGACCAUUUAAUACCACUGAUAUUGUUUGAACAUUUUGGAUGUCUUUUUUAAUGACCGAUAGCGAAAGGCUCGACACACCUGGAUCAUGAAUUCAUAGUUUACCCACUUCUUAUUUUAACCUCCACAGCCCUGUUUAUAACUUUGUAAGUCACGUUUCUCACACACCUAUCUCAAAUAUUGUAUUGUGUAAGCAUACUUGGCUUUGGACGCUACAUAUCAUAAACUUAUCUGUCUGUUUGAUUACAUGCGCUGUGAGGAAAAACACUGACGCGGUCAGCCACGGAUGCAGAGGUCACCAAGCACACAAUCAGGUGUUCAACCUGGCAGCAGAUCGGGCAACGAGGAGACGUGUCCCACAUCCAUCCACACAAACAGAAUGAGACCGUAUUUUUAUGAGUCUGUUGCGGGUCCGUGGCGGAUAUAUGGAGAAGCAUCCAGCCGCAGACUCACUUCUUGCUGGACACCAGUGGCUGGACAGCAGACGUCAUUUCCGUAUCGUCAUUCACUUUUCAAUUUUGACGCGCCAUGCAGAUGUCAGCGGCAAAUCACAUUAGUGUGCGUAAAGGGACGGAGCUACCAUCAAUACAGAAAUGCACAGAGUCUGCAGCCGGUAUCACUGAUUGUGUAAGAUUGUGUAAUUUCCAAUAAAUAUUGCAAAACCAUGAAGUGUUAAUUUGAUCUGGAUUGUUUGGUAAAUUGUCUGAUCAUGUGAAUAUACGUAUAUUUUAAAAACAGAAGUGGUUAUAUUUAAAAAAAAAAAAAA